UACGUAGGGUGCAAGCGUUGCCCGGAUUUAUUGGGCGUAAAGGGCGCGUAGGCGGAUGGUACAGUCAGACGUGAAAUUCCUGGGCUCAACCUGGGGGCUGCGUUUGAUACGUGCUGUCUGGAGUUCGGAAGAGGGUCGUGGAAUUCCCAGUGUAGAGGUGAAAUUCGUAGAUAUUGGGAAGAACACCGGUGGCGAAGGCGGCGACCUGGUCCGAUACUGACGCUGAGGCGCGAAAGCGUGGGGAUCAAACAGG
rnacentral:rRNA from 1 species